GAACCGCGUAUGAUUAAGCCAUCAGUGGUUGUGUGAUAACAAUUGGGAUCCAAUAUUAAUCAAUUUUGCGCAUAAGAAGAAGCCUGAGACGGCCAAAAACAUCCUGUUAUAUACAUUCUUUGAUUGGUUUUAAAAAUUUAGCAUUUUUCACCUAUAUUUUACUUUUUAUUUUGUCGUGUUCCUUUUUUUCAGACUAUGUACAUAUUUUGAAAACCGUCUCAAGCAAAUGCAGCCUCAUUAGUGGACACCAAAGUUAUUUAAAUUGAAAAAAGAGAGAAAGUCUUGCCUUUGCACGCAAGUUGUUUAUUAAGUUUAGUUUUGAUAACAACUGAUAUCAACUCGAUUAGCUAUGUAUUUAAUAACUACGCACUUCUUGGCUUUUAACCUUUUCGCUUGCUCAAUUGUUCCUGUUUCAAGUGUAAUGCAUUGUGAUAUUUCAUCUACUACCCGUGUUUUUACUGUGUAAUUUUGUGUUUUAAGUGCUGAGGAUAGACUUGAUAUCCGAAUUGUGCAUCCACUAAACUUUUAAUAAACUACAUGCGAGCAAAGGCAAGACUUGCUCUUUUUUUUAAAAUUUAUUUAAUUACCUAGUGAAGACGCAAAAUGCGAUACCUCAAUUACCAAAGUUAUCUUUCUCGGAUUAAAGAAAUAAGCACUUUUCAGAACAAAUGAUUCAUCGAAAGCUCAACUUGGCUCGAAGCUCGAAAUUCCAUCAUGCACCACUUUUCUGAAAAAUCGAUUUAUUUUCCUACAAACGUGCCCUGCUUGCGGGAGGAUUCCGUUUCUCCGGAAAACCCUGAUGUGAUGAACUUUUUAUAGAAUUUUUUCUGAACUGCAUUCUAAAAAAACAAAUGAAUGGGAAUCAAGCAGAUAA